UACGUAGGGGGCUAGCGUUGUCCGGAUUUACUGGGCGUAAAGGGCGUGCAGGCGGUCUGUUAAGUCUAGGGUGAAAGCUCCCGGCUCAACUGGGAGAGGUCCUUGGAUACUGGCGGACUUGAGGGAGGCAGAGGAAAGUGGAAUUCCCGGUGUAGUGGUGAUAUGCGUAGAUAUCAGGAGGAACACCGGUGGCGAAGGCGGGUCUCUGGGCCGAUACUGACGCUGAGGAGCGAAAGCGUGGGGAGCGAACAGG
rnacentral:rRNA from 1 species